GACGAACGCUGGCGGCGUGCUUAACACAUGCAAGUCGAACGGAAAGGCCCUGCUUUUGUGGGGUGCUCGAGUGGCGAACGGGUGAGUAACACGUGAGUAACCUGCCCUUGACUUUGGGAUAACUUCAGGAAACUGGGGCUAAUACCGGAUAGGAGCUCCUGCUGCAUGGUGGGGGUUGGAAAGUUUCGGCGGUUGGGGAUGGACUCGCGGCUUAUCAGCUUGUUGGUGGGGUAGUGGCUUACCAAGGCUUUGACGGGUAGCCGGCCUGAGAGGGUGACCGGCCACAUUGGGACUGAGAUACGGCCCAGACUCCUACGGGAGGCAGAAGUGGGGAAUAUUGCAAAAUGGGCGGAAGCCUGAUGCAGAAACGCCGCGUGCGGGAUGACGGCCUUCGGGUUGUAAACCGCUUUCGCCUGUGACGAAGCGUGAGUGACGGUAAUGGGUAAAGAAGCACCGGCUAACUACGUG
rnacentral:rRNA from 1 species